CAGUCGCCACGGGAAUACGAAGGGGUCUAGCGUUGCUCGGAAUGACUGGGCGUAAAGGGCGCGUAGGCGGAUUGUUUAGUUAGGCGUGAAAUUCCUGGGCUUAACCUGGGGACUGCGCUUAAUACAGGCAGUCUAGAGUGAGGAAGAGGGUUGUGGAAUUCCCAGUGUAGAGGUGAAAUUCGUAGAUAUUGGGAAGAACACCGGUGGCGAAGGCGGCAACCUGGUCCUUGACUGACGCUGAGGCGCGAAAGCGUGGGGAGCAAACAGGAUUAGAUACCCGUGUAGUCCCUGUCUCUUAUAC
rnacentral:rRNA from 1 species